UCUUUCUAAAAAAACAUUAUCCACUGUAACUGAGGAUGGCUGAUUAUACUAAUAUAAUGAAAGAUGGCUCAAAUUCAGCUGGCCAGUCUCAAAUGAACACAAAUGCACACAAAUACACACAAAUACACACAUCACAUACAGUUUCUAGCACACAACACAGCAUGGGCAAACCACGCAUACAACUUAGAUCAUAAUGAUGGUUUGAAGGUACUUCAGACUCUAUUAUCAACAUCUCUUAACAUUUAAUUUUUUUCAUAACUUUCGCAUAUGAAGUGAAUGAAAAACGAGCCAGGAAGCAAGAGCAGUAGUUCGUGUUUGAGUAAUUAAGAUUCUAAUGAUCUAGUACAUUUUUAACCCUUUCCCCUUCAUUUUUUACUAUUCCUUAAAACUGUACUUUGUGGAUGAGUUUUUUAAGUUGAAAUAUCCUCUUAGUUGAGAAUUCAACAAACAGAGUGCGAGGAUCAGCUUUAUAUCAGUAUAAAUGGGGACAAGUACUAAAUUAAUAACUCUUCCGUAUUGCUCCGACCUUUUCAUUAAUUUUCUGUUUUUGUUAGUGCAGCACAAGAUUCAAAAAAUUUAUUGAUUAAGCAUAAUUUUGGAUUUUUUUUCGGACUCAACAGUGUGUCCAUAAAUGUGAAUGACUCGUCUAUAAAUUGAACAAUAAGAACAAACCCGCAUGCCAAGCUAUGCUGAAGACUAGCUGUUCAUGCCAUUCACCAGCUCAGAUUCCAGGUAGAAAAACUAAAAUAAAGCUUUAGAGACAUUAAGAAUAACACUUUUGUUUUUGAAAAUCAAUAUGUACUGGCACUUCAUCCCAACUCUUUUUUUCUGUUUGGAGAA